UGAAAAGUCAAGGUGUCCUCGAAUUGCUGAUGAUGUCAGUAGACUCAUGGGUCCAUAAUGAAUGUCUUUGCCUGAAGUCGACACGUCUCAAAGAUGCUGCGGAAGGAGCUAAGCGAACCGUUGAGUGUUAUGCUUACAGGAAAUGGAUUUCUCCUCCUGUCAGAAUAGCUCGUAUACGUCGUCUUCAAAAAUUGACGAAACUAUCAAGGAACAUUGAAGUUACAGUGAAGAACAAGACAGG